rnacentral:rRNA from 1 species
UACGUAGGGUGCGAGCGUUAAUCGGAAUUACUGGGCGUAAAGCGUGCGCAGGCGGUUCGUUAUGUCGGCGGUGAAAGCCCCGGGCUCAACCUGGGAAUGGCCGUUGAAACUGGCGAACUGGAGUGUGGCAGAGGGGGGUGGAAUUCCGCGUGUAGCAGUGAAAUGCGUAGAGAUGCGGAGGAACACCGAUGGCGAAGGCAGCCCCCUGGGCUGACACUGACGCUCAGGCACGAAAGCGUGGGGAGCAAACAGG